rnacentral:rRNA from 1 species
UACGUAGGGGGCUAGCGUUGUCCGGAAUCAUUGGGCGUAAAGAGCGUGUAGGCGGUCCGGUAAGUCCGCUGUGAAAGUCGGGGGCUCAACCCUCGAAUGCCGGUGGAUACUGUCGGGCUAGAGUGCGGAAGAGGCGAGUGGAAUUCCUGGUGUAGCGGUGGAAUGCGCAGAUAUCAGGAGGAACACCAAUAGCGAAGGCAGCUCGCUGGGACGGUACUGACGCUAAGGCGCGAAAGCGUGGGGAGCGAACAGG